AGAGUUGAUCCUGGCUCAGAAUCAACGCUGGCGGCGCGCCUAACACAUGCAAGUCGAACGAGAAAGCCCGCAAGGGUGAGUACAGUGGCGUACGGGUGAGUAACACGUGGGUGAUCUGCCCUUUAGUGGGGAAUAACGCUGGGAAACCGGCGCUAAUACCGCAUAAUCCCGAGAGGGGAAAGCAGCAAUGCGCUGAAGGAGGAGCCCGCGGCCGAUUAGCUGGUUGGUGAGGUAAGAGCUCACCAAGGCAAAGAUCGGUAGCCGGCCUGAGAGGGCACACGGCCACACUGGCACUGAAACACGGGCCAGACUCCUACGGGAGGCAGCAGUGGGGAAUCUUGCACAAUGGGGGAAACCCUGAUGCAGCGACGCCGCGUGAGCGAUGAAGCCCUUCGGGGUGUAAAGCUCUUUCGGCAGGGACGAUGAUGACGGUACCUGCAGAAGCAGCUGCGGCUAACUACGUGCCAGCAGCCGCGGUAAUACGUAGGCAGCAAGCGUUGUUCGGAGUUACUGGGCGUAAAGGGUGCGUAGGCGGUUCCUUAAGUUUGGUGUGAAAUCUCCCGGCUCAACUGGGAGGGUGCGCCGGAAACUGAGGGACUAGAGUGCGGGAAGGGAGAGUGGAAUUCCUGGUGUAGCGGUGAAAUGCGUAGAUAUCAGGAGGAACACCGGUGGUGUAAACGGCUCUCUGGACCGUAACUGACGCU
rnacentral:rRNA from 1 species